GGAAUAUUGGACAAUGGGCGAAAGCCUGAUCCAGCCAUGCCGCGUGAGUGAAGAAGGCCCUAGGGUUGUAAAGCUCUUUCAGCGGGGAAGAUAAUGACGGUACCCGCAGAAGAAGCCCCGGCUAACUUCGUGCCAGCAGCCGCGGUAAUACGAAGGGGGCUAGCGUUGUUCGGAAUUACUGGGUGUAAAGCGCGCGUAGGCGGGCAUCUAAGUCAGGGGUGAAAUGCCAGGGCUCAACCUUGGAAUUGCCUUUGAUACUGGAUGUCUGGAGUUCGGGAGAGGUGAGUGGAAUUCCGAGUGUAGAGGUGAAAUUCGUAGAUAUUCGGAGGAACACCAGAAGCGAAGGCGGCUCACUGGCCCGAUACUGACGCUGAGGCGCGAAAGCGUGGGGAGCAA
rnacentral:rRNA from 1 species